GAAGCUGUGAGUGACGCGUGUGUGUGUGCUUGUAUAUCACAAUGGACUCUUCUUUACGCGAACAGACGGCGCUCAGUGUCUUCUUCCAAGAAGCUGUUCCCAAUGGUGGCACCCCCCAGCACCACCUCAACCAUUUGUGUACGCCAGCCAACACCCCGGCGACGCCCCCGGCCUUCCCAGACGCCCUGGCUGCCUUCUCCAAGAUGUCGACGCAAGAUAAACUCUCCAGCUCUCCGCCAGGGGGAUUUUCACCACCACCACCACAGUUCCAGCCACCACAGUUUCAGCCACCACAGUUUCAACCACCACAGUUUCAACCACCACAGUUUCAACCACCGCAGUUUCAACCACCACAGUUUCAACCACCGCAGUUUCAACCACCUUCCAUGAUGACUCAACAACAGCAUCACCACCACCACCACCAUCAGCAGUCACAGCCAAGACAGAUCAUUGCAAAUAAUGUACACAUUAAUGCUCAGAGAUAAGUAAGGCCGGCUACAAUAUAGCACUAUAUUUUAUCAUGAAAAAGACUCAUUUAAGUGGAGCUGAGGACCCAAGGAUGCUAGGCUUUUCAGUAUUGGGAGGUUACAUCCCUGGUCGGGGUUCACUAAGUUUAAAGCACACACACACACCAUUGACAAUAUUCUGAGGUGAUAGUCGAGGACUACUGUACUAGUAUCUGUUCCCUAUUGUCUUGACUGUAAAUUUUGUAGGUGCUCUGCCAUGAUGAAUGAAUGAACUGAAACAUAAUAUCUUUGCUCCAAGAAUUUGCCUAUCCAUUACUGCAUUGAAAAUAGUUUAAUUUUAGUUUAAAGGAUUAGAUACUUAUGAGUUGUCUAUGGUAACAUAGACUUCAUUUCAAGCAAAUUCAAACUUUCCUGAUUGAUGUUUGGGUACUGGAAGUCUAGGCUGACUCUUACUUGACCGAGAUAAACGUAAUGUGACGUAGAUUGCAGUAGCACAUUUUGUAAACUCAUAGUAUAUGUUGUUAGUUUGUUAUAUUUUUGGUUAGUCCUUUGUUACACCAAUGCCCAAGAUGCAUUACUGGAGUUCGCUAGUGAGAACAUCAGCUAAUGAACCGUGUAUGUACAACCGUGUGUGUAGAAACGGUUGUGCACACACUAUUUUUUGAGGUAAGAGUGAAGUAUGAGGUGUGGCCACAUAGCUGUUCAUGAAGUAUGAGGUGUGGCCACAUAGCUGUUCAUGAAGUAUGAGGUGUGGCCACACAGCUGUUCAUGAAGUAUGAGGUGUGGCCACACAGCUGUUCAUGAAGUAUGAGGUGUGGCCACAUAGCUGUUCAUGAAGAGGUGUGGCCACACAGCUGUUCAUGAAGUAUGAGGUGUGGCCACAUAGCUGUUCAUGAAGUAUGAGGUGUGGCCACAUAGCUGUUCAUGAAGUAUGAGGUGUGGCCACAUAGCUGUUCAUGAAGUAUGAGGUGUGGCCACAUAGCUGUUCAUGAAGUAUGAGGUGUGGCCACAUAGCUGUUCAUGAAGUAUGAGGUGUGGCCACAUAGCUGUUCAUGAAGUAAGAGGUGUGGCCACAUAGCUGUUCAUGAAGUAUGAGGUGUGGCCACAUAGCUGUUCAUGAAGUAUGAGGUGUGGCCACAUAGCUGUUCAUGAAGUAUGAGGUGUGGCCACAUAGCUGUUCAUGAAGUAUGAGGUGUGGCCACAUAGCUGUUCAUGAAGAGGUGUGGCCACAUAGCUGUUCAUGAAGUAUGAGGUGUGGCCACAUAGCUGUUCAUGAAGUAUGAGGUGUGGCCACACAGCUGUUCAUGAAGUAUGAGGUGUGGCCACAUAGCUGUUCAUGAAGUAUGAGGUGUGGCCACAUAGCUGUCUAAAUUUAUUUUCUUGUGGGCAUUUUGUUAUUUGUUUCUCUAUGCUCAACAUUACAUUAUUUUAAGCUCUGAGUAAUACAAGGAGUUUUGGAUACGAGUAAUGGACGCGUGAAACUGUUAAAAAACUUUUUAUAAACUGAAAAAUUAAUGUUCCACUCAUAGUGUAGUUACCUAUUUGUACUUGUUGAACAAUAUUUUGCACUUGUAGAUGAUUGGUGUUCACUGCGUUUCAGAAAUGUAGUCGAUAGAUGUGUCUUUAAUUUCUUGGCCUCUUGUAUAAUACAAUACAAACAAUAAUCAAAUUUACUCAAUAAAAGUACAGUACCUUUGCUGGGUUUGAUGUUAUCUUUAAAAGCAAUUAUACUUGUCAUUGAGUAUAAUUGAUAUUGAGUAGACUUGUCAGUCAAUAUACAUAUUAUUGAGUCAACUUGCAAGAGAAUUUACUGUGCAUCAGUAUAUUGAUCUUCAUGGUAACUCAGACAUUGCCUUUGUCUCAUAUUUAUUUUUGAUGGUAGAAAUUCUGUUCAACUCGUGAGAAGUUAUAACUCCCUUCAAAAAAUAUAGAUAAAAUGAAAAAUAAGAAAAUUAGGAUUAAAUAAAAUGUUGUAAUUAGAAUAUUGGACAGUCUACUGAAAUGUUUUAGGGAUAUAUUGUGUACAGUAUGCUGUCGUCUCUAAAGUCGGGAAAAUAACAAAAUAAAUUUUAAACUAUUCGAGUAUUUUUGUUUAGUAGUGCUCAGCAGGAAGUAGGAUACACUGAGGUUUAUUGUGCAGUGAUACUGUUUGUAGCCCUUAGUCUGGGCAACAUGACUUUACCCGUAACGAGGGUAUCGUAGGUUAUACAAGGUAAAGUUAUGUUGUUUGUGAGGUUAACAUCUUGCAGAUGUGUCCUUCACAGCGAUCAUCGUGCCAUGACUGGCAUUGUAUUGUCAUUUUCAAAUGUGUGUGUGUAUGUGAUAUUAAUGAUGAAAUACUUUCAUAGUUGGGAUGAAGUGUCCAAAUACAGCCGCAUGUGAGGGAGACGCCAUAAUGAUAGUCUUUGCUCAUGCUUUAUAGAUCCAAUGCUGGUCACAGGCUGUGGGUUUCUGUCAACUAGAAGGCUGUGUUUUGGCUAUACUAUAUAUAUAGUAAUGACAAUGCUCAGAGCAGGUCACUAUCAUUUGAAAACCUCAGAUUAAUUUAUUUUUCUUUAAACUAUAAAAUAUUUUAUUCCAGUGUCUCCCUUGGGUCAUGCUGAAUAAUGCAAGAGUUUAUGUUUGGCCAUGAACCAAAGAUCCAUCAGCUAAUUAUUUCCUGUGACGAUGCCAAUGUACCCAGCAAAAGGUAUACUUUCCACUUUUAUUGCUUAUCUGAUUACUUAAAUAAAGGUGAAACAUUGCUUGGAGUUUAGUUACGAAAAUUUUCAGAAAUAUAUAAGAUUUGUUAUAUAAUUAUAAUUUACUCAUUAAUAAAUUGUUUAAUGAUUUGUUUAAAGAUACCUUUCAUUUGAGUUUGUUGGUCAGUAUUGCUAGUGGCUUGGCAUUAGUAACAUUGAUGAAGUAUAUUGGAUGUGUAGGUGAACUUGCAUUAUCAGACUAUUAUUCGCCAACAUUGUUAUAUUUGUCUGUAGUUGGUUUUUGUGUGACCACAUAUUUUGCCAGAACACUGAUUAUUCGUUCAACAUGUUGAACACUUUCAAUCACUUACAAUUAUUGUAUUAGAUGCUAGUUGAUUUCUUAAAGACUAAAAUUCAGUUUAUUACCAUUUGUUAUGUAAUAAAAUAAGUCCUCCACAUACUGUGGCACCAUGCAUAGAAAUUUACUCGAGCAAAUCACUCAUUUUGUACUUAAAUAAAAGCCUUUUCAGUGUUGGAAGAGCUAACGAUAACUUGGUAAUAUUCAUGGGCUUCCCGAUAGGCGUGCAUUUUUUAUAUAAUAUAAUUUUAUUUGUGUGGAGUGGCAUAUGAGCCAUGAGAAUAGUCACAAAUAGUUGCUACCUCAAAUGAGGCUAUACCUGUCCACUUGGGUCUCUGACACAUGUGGAGGCACAUAGCUUUUAAUGUGUCUAUCAAAACUGUAAUGGGAUGAAAUGUAUAUUUGCAUUGUCUAAAUUGUGUGUAUUUCCUUGCAAAGCGUUUAAACCACCGUGUUUAUUUUUCAUUUUAAUUUACAUGGAUAGUAUUACUUUUUUCUUUUAAAUGUGAUACUGUAAUAUGGAUUAAUCGCAAAGAAAAUGGCAAUUGCUCUUUCUUAACAGUUUGUAGUUUCUUAGUAAAAUAUUGUUUUCAUAUGGAAUAAUGCAGUCGAGCAUGAGAUAAAUAUAUGUGUACACACAAGUGAGGUGAGCUCACCCAGUGUACUCCACUAGGUGAGUACAUACACACACACAUACACACACACACACACACACACACACACACACACACACACACACACACACACACACACACACACACACACACACACACACACACA
rnacentral:misc_RNA from 1 species